UUUUUUCUGUAGAGAGGGAAAUAUGAGGUUCCUAAGUGGCUCUCUCCCAGUAGCACUCUGCUUCUUCAACAAAUGCUACAGGUGGACCCAAAGAAAUGGAUUUCUGUGAAAAAUCUGUUGAGCCAUCGCUAGAUCAUGCAAGAUUACAACUGUCCUGUUGAGUGGCAAAGCAAGACUCCUCUUAUUCACCUUGAUGAAGAUUGUGUGACGGAGCUUGCUGUACGUCACAGAAACAACAGGCAAACAAUGGAGGAUUUAAUUUCAUUG